rnacentral:lncRNA from 1 species
AGAUUCCCCAAGUCCCUCCCUGCUGCAGGAAGCAGAGCUGAGCUUUACAGACUCAGAGCAGAAGAGCUGUCCUGAAGAGAUGUAGUUCAGUGGAGGUACCAGGGAAAGGACUCUCUCCAGCCUGCAGGCUGUCACUCCUGCUGGCUGGGCCUGGAUGGUGCCUGAAGGCUGCAGUGGGCUCCUGCUUUCCCAGCUCCUGUGAGCUUUCACUCCUGUUGGAUGGUGCCUUUCAGUCAUUUCUGCUGCUGUAAGUAGCCCAUCACCCACAUUCCUGUUGAAAGCAACCAACAGAAGAAUAUUUCUGUGGCAACUGAAAGGUAUCUAUGGAUUCAGAUUUUGCUUUGAAAAACCAACCUAUGGGAACACAGCUCUGUCAGUGGCUUUUUUCUCUCUCUGACCCAGUGCCUGACCAACAACACUAACUGGGGGAAGAAGGGUCUACUUUGCCUCACAGUUGGAAGAGAUGCAGUUCACCCUGGUGGGCAGGCAGGGCAGCAGGAGGCACUGAAGCAGCUGGUGAGACUGUGGCUGCAUCCGGAAGCAGAGAAAGAGGAAUCCAGUGCUCAGCUCUGCCAUUGUCUUCCUGACUCAGGCCAGGACCGGUCUGUGGGAUGGCGACACCCUCCUAGACACACCCAAAGAUCAAGACGGCAAUGAAGAUGAACUAAGACAUCAACCAUAGCUGCUCUAUUGUAUGUUACCUAUGUGACUUCUGUGCAAUUAUGUCAGGGCUGAGUGGGUUACAACACAGGGUACACCCAGCCCCCUGGGCAUUUAUUACCUGGCCCUUUAUGGAAAAGAAAAAGUGCGGGCCUCUGUUGUAUGGGAAGGUUUUCAGAGUGCCAGUUAGCUCACUGGAGAUGAGUUAACGGAGCAUGUGAAUAGCCACAGGGAAGGGCUUGCAUGCACCGCAGCUCACUGUGGGUCCCUCCCACUGGCUGUAAGUGUGUGCUUGCAUACCCCGAGCUGUGUGAUUCCUUGGCCUUGUAAGUCCUGGAGGAGAGGCUGGCAGAGGGAAACCCUCCCUCCCUCCCCUCCCUUCAACUUUCCCCGGAGCCGGACUUGGCUCAGCCUUGGUGGUGAUUUCAGUCACCUGCUGGUAACCUGGGCUUUACUCGACUCCCACCGUGCUAUAAACUUCAUAACAUAGAAUGUACAGCCGUUUCCUGUCAGCAGGCUUAUGGUGAUGCAGGUGGUGAUGUGUGUGGUGUAUGUAGAUAGAUGUGUUGUGGGCGUUGGGAGAUGGGGUCAGUGCUCUAGGGUAUUGGGGUUCCUCUAUCACCUCUGCUUGUUUUCUCUGACACAUCAUCUAUCGCUGACCAGGAGUACGCUUCUCUCUCUCUCUCUCUCUCUCUCUUUCUCUCUUUCCCCACCCCCUCUCUCCUAGCUAGCCUCAGAAAUCCUCAUUGUGUACAUAGGUGCUUUACAGACCUGUUUUCACAAGGUCUCUGAAAACUAAACUCUGGUCCUUUUGCUGGUACUGCAAGCUCUCAGAACCACUGAGCCAUCUCUCCAGACCUCACUUAAACCAUUUAAAAAUUAUUAUAUUCAAA